rnacentral:rRNA from 1 species
GGUUGCGAUCAUACCAGCACUAAUGCACCGGAUCCCAUCAGAACUCCGCAGUUAAGCGUGCUUGGGCGAGAGUGUAGUAUUAGGAUGGGUGACCCCCUGGGAAGUCCUCGUGUUGCAACCC